rnacentral:rRNA from 1 species
UACGUAGGGUGCGAGCGUUAAUCGGAAUUACUGGGCGUAAAGCGUGCGCAGGCGGUUUUGUAAGCCAGAUGUGAAAGCCCCGGGCUCAACCUGGGAAUGGCAUUUGGGACUGCAAGGCUGGAGUUUGGCAGAGGAGACUGGAAUUCCUGGUGUAGCAGUGAAAUGCGUAGAUAUCAGGAGGAACACCGAUGGCGAAGGCAGGCCUCUGGGCUGAAACUGACGCUCAUGCACGAAAGCGUGGGGAGCAAACAGG